ensembl:misc_RNA Y_RNA Y RNA
AGCUGGUCUGAGUGCCGUGGUGUUCACACCUAAUUGAUCACAAACAGCUACAGAUUUCCUUGUUCCUUCUCCAUUCCCACUGCUUCACUUGACUAGCCUUUA